UACGUAGGGUGCGAGCGUUAAUCGGAAUUACUGGGCGUAAAGCGUGCGCAGGCGGCGAUGUAAGACCGAUGUGAAAUCCCCGGGCUUAACCUGGGAACUGCAUUGGUGACUGCAUUGCUGGAGUAUGGCAGAGGGGGGUGGAAUUCCACGUGUAGCAGUGAAAUGCGUAGAGAUGUGGAGGAACACCGAUGGCGAAGGCAGCCCCCUGGGCCAAUACUGACGCUCAUGCACGAAAGCGUGGGGAGCAAACAGG
rnacentral:rRNA from 1 species